UGGCUACACCUUAUCUGGUCAGGUCAACACGAAAUGCGUCAAAAUAAUACACCUACCUUACUGUAUAUCUACGUUAAUACAUGUAUUUAGACGUCCCAUACUUCUGUGGCUAAGUGGAGACCGAUGGAAAGCAGAAUACGUGGAAAUGAAUUAUUUUUACAAUGCUUAGUCAACAGACCAUUGUCUGGGAAACGGUGCACUGUAAUUACACCUAUGCCCAACUGGGAAGAAAAAAAGACGGCCAAACUGGAAGCCGUAACAACGGUGACAAUGGAAAUUAGCAUGGUUUCUUGUUUGUUGUUAUUAUUGUUGUUCAACGAGGUUAAUUGAAUCAUCAACUUUGUCUCGUUUUCUUCCACUGGUGCAAGCCAAUGGCAAAGAAAAGGAAGUAAACAUAAAGAACAAUGAAAAAUCCCAUGACAUUAUGCCCAUCAGCUGUCGGCUCUGUAUUAGGGCGGAAGCAUUCCAUCCUUCAAUAACUAAAUUUUUAACGUAAUUCAUCGAGCUGGUUCAAUAUUGGGUUACGCUGCUAAUCAAAUAUGGACUCUGCCAACAAACCACUAAUGGCAUUUCAAUAUUGCAGAGCAUCGACCAACGGCUGGAUUUCCUUCAAAAGUCAGAGUUCACGCAUUGGAACUGUCUCAUUGAAGAUUGGACUGCCCGAUCGAGUGGAACUCGUUCCUCCAAACUUAAAAAAAAAUGAUUCGAUCGAUUGUCUUCCUCUUGGCAUGUAUCUCGCUUUGUGCAGGACAGCUUACAGCUGCACGUUACAGCUACUUCAAUCAAUUUCAAACAGGUAAACCAUCACCAGCUUUGGGGAGGUUUCUGUUUUCGUUCAAACCCUACACCUUGCCCUUUGGGCCGUUUUACCUACCGGAAUUGAUUCCAACGUCCACCAUCACGGCGACUCAAAUCGUGCCGACAACUUUCACCAG